rnacentral:misc_RNA from 1 species
UCCGGUUUAUCACCGGCAGUCUCCUUUAAGUUCCCAGCUUGACCUGUUGGCAAUAAAGGAUAAGGGUUGCGCUCGUUACGGGACUUAACCCAACAUCUCACGACACGAGCUGACGACAGCCAUGCAGCACCUGUCUCUUGGUUCCUUUCGGCACAAAAGCAUCUCUGCUUCCUUCCAAGGAUGUCAAGGGUAGGUAAGGUUCUUCGGGUUGCAUCGAAUUAAACCACAUGCUCCACCGCUUGUGCGGGCCCCCGUCAAUUUCUUUGAGUUUUAACCUUGCGGCCGUACUCCCCAGGCGGAGAACUUAACGCGUUAGCUUCGCUACGUCGCGCAGAACUAUUGUCCCACACCUCACAGCUAGUUCUCAUCGUUUACCGCGUGGACUAC